AAAUAUACCUGGCAAGGGAGAUACCAUGAUCAUGUAGGUGGUUUUCCCAGGGUAAGACUUAUUCAUUGCACUCUAUGCAGAAAAUAAGAGACUGCUGAGUGCUUGUCCCUGGGUAGGACACCUGUGUCAAACCUGUCACCCAGGACUCAGGGACCAUUGCAGAAGA
ensembl:snRNA U1 U1 spliceosomal RNA